UGGGCGGCAUGGAUGCUGUUGGCGAGAUUUUCAUUUUGGCUGUCGCUCGUCUUUGAUGUUCGUCUUGGCCAAAAUAGUAGUGCUCCGUAAAAUAGUUGGUUCGCAUGCAAAAAACGGCAAAAUACCAACGGAAUUUUCGCACAACGCGUUUAUUUUUUAUUUUACUUUUUUUCUACACAACAUUCUAGAAAAGUAAAAGGAAAAGGAUAAAAAAAUUAGGUGAAAACGGGCAACUAAUAAAAAGUGAACGCACUACUGUCAAACCCAAGAAAAUCAAUUUGUUCAAGAGACAAUACAAAACUUGCAUAUUCAACUUGGUUGUAACACAAAUUUAGCAAUUUAACACAAAAACAUCUAUAAUGAAGCACGUAUGUAUGUAUGUAUGUAUGUAUAUAAAGCGCGCUCAGCAAAAACAAACCGAAAUGAUGGACCAGCCCGCAAGGCAGUGUAAACUAACAGUAUAGUGGUGAUAAGGAAAAAUUACCAGAAGCAAAUGGGAGAAUAUGCAUAUAGCAACAAAAACAAAAACGUUGAAGUUGAAGUUGAAAAAGUAAACACAGCCGAGGGCUGCAGCCGAGGCAGAGCUAGCGACAGCGGUGGCAAAAACAACUAUUCGUACUCCAAAUCCUCCCCUUCCCGAGUACUCUCACGUCGUGUGGUUGUGAAAUUUUAGGUGUGACUUAAAGUUUAACAUUUAAAACAAACAAAACACUACAUACAUACAAAUAUAACCGUUAUAAAGUCUAAUAAAUUAAAAAAAAUAAAAUAAUAUAGAUUAUUAUGGAGAGCAUUAAUUGAAAAUUUUAAUUAAUAAAAUCAUAAUAAAAGCAAAACUAACAUAAUCACGCAGUUGCACUGGCAUGUGUGCGUGUGUGUGUGUGUACACAAUAAACACGCAUGAAAGCAUAUUGUGCAGAGCGCAUAAUAAAACUCAUUGCUGCCACAAAGAAGUUGCUGGCAAAUGAAAUUACGGUAAAAAAGCAAUUAAUUAAAAUAUGCAUUGCAGUUUUUGUGGGUGUGUGCGCGUUUUACAAGAAAAUCAUUACCCGAAAUAACUAAUAAAUUAUAUAUAUAGUAAUUAACAGGUGCUGAGGUAAUAUAAAUGCAACAACUAAACUCUUUAAACAACCGAAUAUUAAAGAAGUAAAAUUAAAUCUAACGGUAUCUCUAAAUCUCAACAGUUGAAGGCGUGUCUUGAGGUUAAAUGUGAACGGAACUUAACGAACUUAACUUAACGACUGUGUUUGGUCUUAGCGAAGACUUUUAACCGUAAAUUAAGCAACUUAGGCGGCGGAGAGGCGCAGUGACGCAGGGUACAGAGCAAUGGCGUGUGUCUAAUUUUUAAACUUUUUAUUGUACAUUUUAAGCCUAGACUAACGUAAUUUUACUCGAAAUAAACGACCGUCCUCUUUACAUUACAAAAAGUAAAUAAAAAAAAAACAAAAACAAAAAAUAAAAAUAAAAACAAAUAAUUAUAGUAUAUUAUAAGCCAAUUUGAAACUAUCAAACGAUGCGAAGGCAGCAGAAAAGUAUUUCAACUAACUUUUAAAAUAGUUAUAUAUAUGUAUGUGUAUUUUUAAAGUAAAUGAGCCAAUACGAAUGUUAAGCUCACAUUCAUUAAUAAAUCAAUCAAAAACAGAGUGCGUGCAACAAAAACAAAACCAAAAAUAAAUAAAUAAAUACAAAAGUAAUCAGACUGAAUGAAUGCAAAUUGAAUUAAAAACAAAAUAGAAAAAAAAAAUAAAAAUUAAUAAAAAAUAAUUAAAACACUCAUGCGCAUAGCUACAAAGCCAUAAACUACCGAAAAGCCAAUAAAAUUAUUACACAUCGCAGAAAGUGACAAAUGAACGAGUAUUUAAUUGCCGCAAAGUGUUGAAAGGCCGGGCGGCAACACUGAGCAGAGCCGCCAUUGGCAAAAUAACGGCAAAUUAUUAUAAACAAUGCUGAAAUUGUUUAAAAACAAAGUGUACUGUAGCAACAACAACACACUGUAAUGAUAUAAAACAAAAAUAAGCGACUAAAAACAAAAACAAACACAAAACUAAACAACGCAACGCACAGAGCGACACACACGCAAGCUGGCAGGCUGGCAGGCGGGGAGGCAGAAAUUUCAAUCCAAACAACGCACUCCACGCACUCAAUUGAGCUGCCGAGAAAACACGCUGAACGUACCUAAUUAAAAUUCAUAGGCCCAUGCACAAACAGGCAAACACACAAACAACGCAAAGGCUUUUACGCACACAUAUGUAUAUAAGUAGCUGUGUGUGCGUGUAAACAUAACGCCACAAACGAAAGGAAGAGCAGGAGCAGCACAAGAAGAAGAAGAAGACGACGACGAAGAGUAAACAGUAGCCAAAUUAAGUCAACUGGAAGGCAGAGGCGACCGAGCCCAUCCAAGCACACGCUUCAUACAACAACAACAACUGCCUGCACGCGUGUGGCCAAAAGGGUUAACAGUGGCUGUGACACUUUCCUGCGAGCUGUCAGCUGCAGCAGAGGCCGCGUCCAGCGCGUGGCUACCGUAAUUGGUGCGCCAAAAGCACACAACAACAAUAAUAACAACGAGGCAGUGGUGAGCAAUUAAAACGUUGGCCAAGCAGUAGAGCGACAGAGCCGCGCAGGAAAAAUAAUUAAAAAAUUAAUAAUAAUUAUAAUAAAAGAGCAAGACAGCUAACGGGAGGGGCAUGCCAAGCGGUAAAGCGGAAGCAGCUGAGCAUUGAAUAAAUAUUAAAACGUCGAUUAAUACGAAAUUGAAUCAACAACGACGUGGCAUAUAAAAUCACACAAGCACACACACACACACCUAUAAGCGUAUACAAAGACGCGCACGAUCACCGCAACGUCAGCACUGACGUCAGGAGGCAGGCGGCACCCAGCAGCAGCGCUCUGCUAAUAGCGUUCGAUAGAUGCCGCAGCCGCAGCCACAGCUGUGCUCGGUGGCGCGUGAAUUGACGCCAAUAGCGGCGGCGCUCGUGUAGGCGCCAGCGCAGCAAGCGUGGCAGUGACGGCGACAGCCACAGCGACAGCGACAGCGACAGAGACAGUGGCAGCCGUUGUGCCGUUCGCUUCAGCAGCCAAUGCAUCAGAAAUCGAAGGUACAGAAGAGUAUUCAUUUGCCAUUAACGAGCUUGUCGUCGCCGCGUGUUUUGAUGUGCAGCGCCUCUGUCGGCACCGAAGGUUCCGUUACGCUACAAUUGAGAGACUCGUCCGAUUCCAAUCAGUCGCCAGCUCAAACGUCUUUGGAAAAUGCCUUGACCAUCGGCUAUCCCGACCCGGAGAUGUUGGCCGACGUGUUCGGUUCACUGCAGACAUCCUCAUUCAAGAAUCACAGCAGUGCGCUGGUGUCAACAUCGCCAACAACAAUAACAAAUCAUAAUACUAAUCCGAUUAGCAGUAAUAGCAGUAGCUGCAACAACAACAAAACCACAAAAUCCCCAACCAACGCCACGAGCAGUGCGCCGAGCAACAGCAGCACCUCCACCACCACCUCCGCACCGGCGAACAAAGUCACAAUCAGUCGUCGCAAUCAAAGCAGCGUGGCAACAGCAACAACAACAAGCGCCGCAACAUCUGCCAAUACAGCAACAACAACGGCGCACACGACGACCAAGUCAUCCGUACAAACGGUGUCCACAGCCACGAACACCACCAACAAGACGACCAGCAGCUACGUCAAGAAUUGCCUGAUACGCAGCAGCAGUUGCAGCAACACCAACAACGUCACCUCGCUGGCACAGAUAAUGAGCAACAGCAGCACGAGCAGCUCAUCGUCGCUACUGAAUCAUAGCAACACGAACAGCAACAGCAACUGCAGCAGCAACAGUAAUUUCAGCUCGUCGAGCAGCAGCAACGACAGCAUAGUCAGUGUCAAUAGCAACAACAGUGGUGGCGGCGUGCUGAAGAGCGGCGGCAGCAGCAAAGGUGCCACUGCGACGGGCACGACGCUCAAGAAGAAUCGCACCAAAUUAUCUUCUCCAACGCGUCAUGGACCACAACAGUGCCAGAUCUGUAGUAAAAUCUUUGGAAAUGCGUCAGCGUUGGCGAAGCACAAACUGACGCAUAGCGACGAGCGGAAAUACGUGUGUGCGAUGUGUUCGAAGGCGUUUAAGCGACAAGAUCACUUAAAUGGCCACAUGAUGACGCAUCGCAACAAAAAACCCUACGAAUGCAAAGCUGAGGGCUGCGGCAAAUCAUACUGCGAUGCACGUUCCCUGCGCCGUCACACCGAGAACCAUCAUUCGGGCAUAAUAACACCACAAAAUCAAACUCUCUCGCCAACCUCCAGCACACCAAACGGACUUAGUCUUUCACCGGCCACAGCAAGCGGGGAUGCCAGUUCACCGGACGGUGCCACAUGCAUACGCACUUACAUCUCUACAGGUGGCAGUAUUGUUGAUGCGGCCACCGGAGUUGCGCUAACCGAAGAGCAAAUAAAAGCCAUCAAUUUACCCAUUAAGACCGGUGUCACUCUGCUUUCGCCCACGUCAACGUCGUCUGCGUCAUCAGUGAGUGGUGUUUCGUUGCCCGCGUCGUCUCCUACAAUUGCGCUCGCCGAGACGAGUAUCGUGGACACCGGUGAGGGUUUGACUCGCGAACAAUUGGAUUUGAUCAGUAAGAUUAUGCAACAGACGAAGCAAACGAGCGCACAGGUGACAGUCUCCUCACCCACCAGCGUUAAUUCUUACAAAGUAGACACAAAUCCAUCUUCGUCUACACUUGGUGCGUCGGGAACACAUCAUGCCGUGAGCGGUUCAUCGGGUCGACCGCGUACAUGGAAUAUGCAACUAUUAAACACGCAAAAUGUAUCCAUCGCAGUCGAUGAGUCCAAUUCCGAUGCGACAUCCAGCACAGCAACAUCGCCCAUCGAAGCCAAAGAAGAGGAGGUGAAUCAACAAUUUGUGGCCGCCAUUAAUCCGCAUCUCUUGAAUAUUGUCAAGAUGGAUCAGAAGCAAGUUGAAUGCAAUUUGUGUCAUCGCAAGUUCAAGAAUAUACCAGCACUCAAUGGACAUAUGCGGCUUCAUGGCGGCUAUUUCAAAAAAGACCCCGAGACCAAAAAGACAGAAAAGAAAGAGCCCAGCGGUCCACCGCUGCAGACAGCCAGUAUUGGCGUGCGUGCGCUGAUCGAAGAGAAAAUCAUCAGUAAACGCAAAGAUAUGAACAAGGGUGCCUUCGUAGUUCCUGCACCACCCAGUAGCGUAUCCAGCACUUCCACAAUCCGACGAUCGAUUAGCGAUCUAGAAAGUUUCCUUAGUCCCAAAUCACACAACCACAAUGGCAACAUCGGCGGCGGUAACGGUGCCAACAGUAGUAACCACAAUACGUCUAGUCAGAAUUCGCCCACCGCCACCACAACGACUAUGCUACCUGCCGCAACUACAAUCAAAAACUUCAGUGGUGGUACAUUGGGCUUGCAGCAAAUUGGCAUGUCGCAGGGUAUCGAAAUUUUCAGCACAAAGCAACAGAAGACAGUUGGUAAUCUUGGCCAUAGUUUGGGUAUGGGCUUGAGUGCGGCUCUCCAAGCGAAUAAUGCAACGAUGAAUCCGUCAACGAUGAAAUCUGCAGCAACGACAAAUACAACGACUACCAAGGGAACUUCGACCGAUCCGAAAGACUCGACACUCAUUGAGUUAUUGAAGCGCGGCACGCGCAUCGCCGUCACUGCCAAGAAGCCACUAAACAGUACAAACCCAAUGACAAAUAUGGGAAGCAGUAGCAGUAAUAACGGCAGUGGCGGAUCGCGUCAAAUAAUCACCAACAACAAUCGCACUGUGAUUAUACCGUCCGACGUGCAGGUUCUACCCACCCGUAUGUCCAAGUCGAGUGCUAACGUCCUGCGAUCCUCUACUCCCGCCAGCUUAGCCCUGACCGACACGACGCCACUAUCACUCACCAUAUCGCAGAGUGGUGAUGGCGGCAUCGGUGGUGAUGUGUAUACGGUCACUUAUAGCAGUGACACAUCGGGAUUUUUCGAUGAUGCGGAGGUCUAUAAUGUCGCUGACACGGAUAUGUUGCUGCAGACGGUAGAUUCAAUGCAAUUACUCAACGAUGACUCGCAACAAUUAAAAAGCGAACAUUCCGAACAAUUUGGCUCUGUGACUGGCGUGGGGAUCACGGAAGGCGAUCACACCGACAAUAGCGGUAAUUGCAUUCAAGCCGAAUACUUGAAGUUAGAAGCCGACGGUAGUGUCAAUGCUAUGCCCACCACUUUACCCACUUUCCAACAAUUUCAUUCCAAGGAGUUAAUCAUGCAGAAUAGUGCCCAGAUACAGGCUGUGACUAGCAUGCGUUCCAACGUGCAUCAACUGGGCUCGUUAUCCUCACCUAUAAACUCGCCGCUCGCAUAUCCAACACCACCCUCCAGUCAUGAAAAUAUGACGCAAUCAUCGCCCUACGUCGAUGAUGGACACCAGUAUUCCGAAGUGACAAACGCUUUCUUCAACGAGAAAUGCAGUGCCGAUUUCCUCACGCAGUCAGCAACCGAAGUGACUUUCUUCAAAAGCAAUGACAAUCAGCAUGAGCUCACCGACACCGAGAAGAUAUUGAAGUUGAAGACCGUGUUGGAGGAGAGCGCUUUCGAUGGUUCAAUCAAGGUGGAGGAUUUACUAAAUGGUACACAGGAGGAUGACACAGAAUGUGAUCUACGGGACUUUGCUGAAAGCAAUCUGGCAUUUUUGGAUGAGGAUCAGGAGUUUCUGAAUGAUUCGCGAAAUGCAACUUCGCCUUUACCAGAAUCAUUUUUCACCGGCAGCAUUGGUACGGCCGAAGAAGUGAAAGAGGUAUUGCGCGAUGUGUUACCCGACGAAAAUAUCAAUCUGAAUUGCGAAGAACAAUCGGAUGAAAAUAUUAUUGACUUGUAUUAUUUGCCGGGUUUGGGCUUACAAUCACAAAUGAUGCCUAAUUCGGAUGAUCCGCUCUUAUCCUCGUCCCCAAGAGAUUUCGGUCAGCAACGGGGACAAAUUAUACAAACGACGCAGCAGGUCCAAGCGCAGCAGCAACAACAAAGUCAACAAUCGCUAUCACAAUCACAGCAAAUACAGCACUCCACCUCCACACAGCAUUUGCUUUACGCCCAGCAAAUGGAGCAUCAAAUGCAACAACAACAGCAACAACAAACAUCUACCACCGGUGACUACGUUGGCAAUCAAUUAGCAAUGGCAAUGCAACAAACCGUCGCAGACGGCAAUGACGCACCCUCGACGCUACAGUACAAUCUACAAAACCUACCGCAAGUACAAAACCAGCAACAAUACAUUGACGUGAACACACCGAUUCAGCAUGUGUCAACGCUUGAUGGUGGCAUACUGCACCAGCAGCUAGUCUUUACAGGUUCGACCGACAAGCAGGAGAUACAUAUAACGGGACAACAAAGUGAUAUGGGUCUUCUGUCCGCCGGUAACUCCAUUAAUACCGACACCAAUAUCUACUUCGCCAGCAACUCCAGUAAUUCCAACAACUCAAUGUCUGCUUUGCAACAAAUCGGCAAUCAGUCGAGUGCCUGCAAUCUGCCCAUCUCAUCGUCUUCAUGUCAACCACCAGCGGCUUCUACAGUUCUUUCCACACUGCAACCCCUCUCCAAUCAAACAAAUUCCAUACUGAAGCGUCGUCUGCGACCGCACAAUUCCAGUGACUCCAGCAAUUCACAAAGUUACGCCAAAUAUCAUCCGCUCUCACCGUAUCGAUCUAAGUUGCGCAAACCCUCGCGUACGCAUUAUACACCGGCGCCUAUACUUAAUCCCGAUCGAAAAGGUGUCGGACUGUAUUGCAGUGUGCGCAAGCAACUCAACACGGGUCUGCUUGGUUUCGAUAGUUUUGACGAUGAUUUCGACGAUCCGGUGGGCCUAGUGGACUUUUCAGAUGAAUCAAAGGUCAAUCUGGGCUCGGCGUAUCAGGCACAAGUACCGCCUUGCCGAGAACGCAUUCACAGUGCGGGUAGCGAUGCCGCAACCGAUGGUGAAUUGUGUAAAACCAACUCUUGUUUCGACGUCGAGGAGCCUGUGAGUGCGGAGCAAUUGUGGGACCCCACCGUACAAACAGACGAGAAGAUUUUGAUGCGCUACAUUGACCUGAGCAAAUCAUCGGCUGUGCCGCUGGGCAGUCACACCGAAGAAGUAGCGCUGCACACCCUGCUCAAAGCACAAGGAAAUAUGGCCGCGGCAGUACUAACUUUACUCCAAACACCAUCGAAUGCAUUCCAGAUGAAAUGGUCCGCUACCGAAUUGGAGGUGUUCUUAAAAGGACUGGAACGGCAUGGCAAAGAUUUUGGACGCAUUUCGCUGGAGUUGGGUUCAAAGACAACGGGCGAGUGUGUGCACAUGUAUUACUUCUGGAAGAAACUUUGUGUUGACUAUAAAGUAUCACAUCUUAAAACGGAAACGCCACCUCCACCACCGGUGAACGAUCCGAAGCCAUAUGUCUGCGAAGUGCCGGAUUGCUCUGCGAGCUUUACCUCAAAAGCUGCCCUGCAUGGUCACACUCGCAUACAUACUUACGGUAGAAAUGCUAAUAGCCAUCAUAACAACAAUAACAAUAAUAAUCACAACAAUAAUGCUACAAGCAACACUACUAAUCAGAACAACGGUGCCACAACGGGCGGCUCGACAAGCGUCGUCCAGCAGACCAACGCGUCACAGACACAAUCUCAAGUGAGCGUCGGUGGUGCGAGUGCUUCCAGUGCAUUACCCAAAGACGCUAAUCAAAACGGUGUGCCCGGUGCCGUCAGCACCGCCAAGGACACCGACUUUCCCUGCAAGAGUCAAAAGUCACAAGUUGAAUUGCGAGUUGUCGCUACUCCCCACCACCACCACGCUGUUGUAUAACGACGCGCACGCGCAAGCGCGCCCAUGUUGAAAGUGCUAGCUCGCUCACUGAAGCAGCAGCCGCCACUGCAACCGGCAUGUGUCUUUCAGCGCCACACUCAGCCAAAGCGUAAAAUUAGUUUUUAAUAAAGUGAAGAGUAGAAGCGCGCACAUGAAGACGCAUCGCGUGCAGGAGCAGCAACAGCAACAGCAGCAACAUCAACACCAG
rnacentral:misc_RNA from 1 species